GAUGAACACUGGCGGCGUGCCUAAUACAUGCAAGUCGAGCGAAGCGGGGACGGGUGAGGAACCCGGGGAAAACCUCCUAUAAGACUGGGAUAACUUCGGGAAACCGGAGCUAAACCUGAUACUUAUAGAUGGAUCCGCGCUGCAUUAGCUAGUUGGUAAGGUAACGGCUUACCAAGGCAACGAUGCAUAGCCGACCUGAGAGAGAGAGCGGCGAGAGUGGGACUAAGACACGGUCCAGAAGCAUAGGGGAGGCAGAAGUAGGGAAUCUUCCGCAAUGGAGGAGAGGACGACGGAGCAAGGCAGAGUGAGUCAAGAAAGGAUUCGGAUAGGAAAACCCUGUAAUUAGGGAAGCGGUAUCUAAUCAGAAAGCCACGACUAACUACGUGCCAGCAGCCGCGGUAAUAC
rnacentral:rRNA from 1 species